UACGUAGGGGGCGAGCGUUGUCCGGAAUUAUUGGGCGUAAAGAGCGUGUAGGCGGUUCGGUAAGUCUGCCGUGAAACCUGGGCUCAACCCGGGCGUGCGGUGGAUACUGCCGGGCUAGAGGGUGGUAGAGGCGAGUGGAAUUCCGGUGUAGCGGUGAAAUGCGCAGAUAUCGGGAGAACACCAGUAGCGAAGGCGGCUCGCUGGGCCAUUCCUGACGCUGAGACGCGAAAGCUAGGGGAGCGAACGAGGA
rnacentral:rRNA from 1 species